GCACCUGUAACUCAAUUUGGUGAGAGUUUUACCUCCGGUGGUAAAUGUUGCUGGUUCGAGUCCAGUCAGGUGUG
rnacentral:tRNA from 1 species